UAGGUAAUGAUGAAGCAAAAUAUAUAAUCCAACACUUGAUCUGAUAUAAUUAUGUGUGAUGGUAAAUUGAUAUAGCUUCUGAGCCAAC